GCUGUGCUGGAAGAGCGACUCUCCGCCUUACAGGAGGAGCUGGCUGUGAAGCGGGCUGCUGUGCAGGAGCUGGGUAAGGACGCCUGGUCCCCCUGGCCAGGGCCCGUGGAGGGCGUGGGGCCCCCUGGGGACACCUCCUCUGGGGUGGGAGCUUCUCCCCGUCCUGCCCAGCCUGGGCCAAAGGUGCCGUGUCUCCCCAGAGGGCACCAAGACGACCCUGCGGGAGGAGCUGAGGAGCGUCACGGUGGCCAGGAGCCGGGUGAUGGAGCUGGAGGAGAAGGUGCAGCUGCUCAGCGGCGAGCGGGAGAGGCUGGGCCAGGAGCUGAGCGCCACCAGCACCCAGCUGGGGAAGGAGAAGGCUCAAGUGGAGAGCAUCCUGAGGCACGAGGAGGUAUGGCGGGGCCCGCUCCCUGGCUCUGGAGCUGCUCUGCAGCCCCGCAGCACGCUGUGGGAGUGGGCCGAGCCGGUGGGUGCUGCUGCCCAGUGCAGGGGCAGCGGCGAGCGGGGUGCAGCAGCAGCCCCACGCAGGCUCGCCUGCCCUGUCCAGUCCCUUGCAGGCCAAAGCAGAGGGUGCUGAUGCAGCACGUCGACUGGCUGGACCAGCAGCGUGAGGUGCUGGAAGCCAGCCUGGGAGAGGCCAAGGAGGCCAAGGCCAGGCUGGCAGAGCAGCUGGAGGAGAGCCGGGAGCAGAGCAGGCAACAGCUACGGACGCAGCAGGUCAGCGCUGGCCCCCAGCGUGCGGCAGGCGGCUGCAGGAGCGGGGCUCCUGGGGAUGGAGCGGGUGUGGGACACAGCUGUGCCAUGGGGUGUCAGGAGCCUCCCGUUGCCCUGUCCCCUGGGACCCGUAGCCGGAGUUUUCCCAGGAGGGGGAGGCAGGCACCUGCUGGGACAUGGCCACCCCGCGGGAAAGAUCCCUCUCCCUCAGCCCCUGCACAGACGAGUCUCCGCCGGUUUUCCCUGCGGCCGAGGCAGAGGGGAGCAGUGGGAAGUGACUCCUCAGAGACACUCCCGUGCCUCCAGCGUGCCCGUUCCCGGACACGCAGCGUGCUUCACGGUUGGUGCCGUUGCUUCCAACCGACAUGGCGAGCUCCCAGGAGAGACCCUGCGCAUUGUCCCUUGACCGCUUCCCACUGUCACGGGACAUCCUUCUCACCUAAGGAAUGGGAGGAAGCUUUCCUGGGGCUGCGAGUACUCCCGUGGGACUCCCCAGAUGGGCACCAUCCCCAGGUUUGGGGAGAGGGCUCAGCAAACCUCACCACGUCCCUGCUGUGCGGUACAGGAGCUGCUGGACAUGCUGCGGCGGGAGAAGCUGAACCUGGAGCAGUCUGUCUCGGAGCUGCAGGCCAAAGUGUCCGGGCUGGAGGAGCAGGCGCGGGGGAUGCAGGAGCGGGAGAGGCUCCUCGUGUUCUUCCCCGAGCUCCAUGUCCCAACUGAAGCGCAGAUUGAGAGUAAGGCAGCAGGCAGCAGCGCCUGCUUUCUCCACAGUGGGCUUGUGCCUUGAGGGUCUCCCAGAGCUUGCAGGGGAUCCUGCCAGCCCCAGCCUCACCGGCAGGAUUUGCACAACAGCCUCUGUCCCGCUAACAGCCAGGAAGGGCUGGGGCCGUGGCACUGUGCUAAGCUGCUUCCAUCUUCAAACGCCUCCCUGCGUGGGUGCUGUCCGUCCCACCUCUGGGCCAGGAAAUCAUGCGGGGGGCAGCGGCACGGGCACAGCUCUGUUUGCCCUCACGGUUUCAGCUGGCACAGUUGUGGGUCCCGGCUGCCACCUCCCAGGCUGUGCCGGUGCUCCCUGCUUGGGGCAGGCUCCUUUCCAGCGGGCAGCCACCCUGCUUGGCAGGCAGGAGGGUGCUGCCCACCCCUCUGGGCAGGCAGGCAGGCAGCAGCGGGCUGAGCUCUGGUUCCUGCCACAAGGACGUUGCGUUUUGUUUGCAGGCACCGGGGAGCUUGACCGAGGACAUGGAGAAGCAGAUCCAGGCCAACAGCAUCCCGGUGGGCGUGCUGGAGGAGAACGCACGGCUCAGGUCUGCGCUAGCCAGGCUGAAGGCGGCUGCUGAGCGCGGCGUCCUGAAGCUCGUCCCGCAGAGCCAGCUGCUGUCCCAGCUCAGCAGCCAGCGCGGCCGGCAGGACGCAGGGCGGCCCAGCAGCCGAGGCGGCAGGGACAGCACGGGGCCACAUGAGACGAAGACAAGGCCCAGAAGAAGCUCCCAGUGGCCACAGUGCUCCCAGCAGCCAGCAGGCUCCCAUCUUCCAGAGGGCUCCCAGUGGCCAGCAGGCUCCCAGAGGCUGGCGCCUACGGCCACUCUCGGCAGAGCCCACCUGCAAGCCCGGGACCCUGCCUCUCGCUCCUGGCUACAGGCCUGGUGCCCAGGCUCUGCGAGACAGGGACAGAGAGAACACGUCCUCCCUGCUCUCACCACAGCUACCUGCUCUCACCACACCUACGGCCACCACAAAUAAAUGCUCACGAGUCUAAGGCAGAAAUGAAGUGUCCAGUGAGCUCCCACCCUGCCUCACGGGACCUCGUUACAUGUUCUUUGUGCCUCACGAAGGUGCAGUCCCUUGGGACACCCUGUCUCUGCCCAUCCCGCUGAGACUGCUUGUUGUUGGCGUAGGAAGCCCAGGGAGAGUCCGUGCAGCAGCUCUGCCACGGCUCUGCUUGGAGCCGCCCUCCUUGUGGUGCUUUGCUGUUUCCUGCAGGACUGCAGCACCCAACGAGCCCGUGCGCUUUCCCCCAUUGUCCCUCUCCACUGGGCAACGCUGUGGCCUGUGGUAAAGCAGAGAGCGACGGUGCAGGGGACUGCGGGGCGUUUCCUUCUCCCUCCGCGCAGCACCCCCAGGAGAAGCUUUGCUGGAGGAAGCGGGCUGGGGCUGGCUCGGCCCGGCUGCCAGCCAAGGCGCCCACACACACGCAGCCAAGGAGCCCUUGCAGGGGGGAGGGUGGGGAGAUGCUCCCUGGGUGUGUGAAGCUGCCCCCGCGGAGUUCAGCUGCGCGGGGCCAGGGCUGUUCCUGGGCACUGGAGCUCAGUCGCCCACAGCUUAGCUGCUGCUGGAGUCCCCAGCGUGGCUCUGAGCAUGCUUUCCUGCCUGGCUGCAGCAGCACUUAGCUCGUGCCAGGAGCCGUUCCCAAGAGGUGACUGGGAUGUGGCCGAGCUGCUUUGAAGGGGAAGGCAGAGCUGGGCUGGGGAUGAGGAGUCUGAGCUGCCCUUAGCUUGCUGGCGCUGGCACAGCCACAGCCUGUGAAAACUGCUCGCCCUGCACUGCCAGCGGCCACGAGCGCCCAGAGGAGCCAGGGACCAC